rnacentral:rRNA from 1 species
AGAUGAGUAUUCUCAGGCGCUUGAGAGAACUCGGGAGAAGGAACUCGGCAAAUUGACACCGUAACUUCGGAAGAAGGUGUGCCUUUAGUAGGUGAACCCGUACAGGGGGAGCCCAAUGAGGUUGCAAAGAAUCGGUGGCUGCGACUGUUUAAUAAAAACACAGCACUCUGCAAACACGAAAGUGGACGUAUAGGGUGUGACGCCUACCCGGUGCUGGAAGAUUAAGUGAUGGGGUGCAAGCUCUUGAUCGAAGUCCCAGUAAACGGCGGCCGUAACAAUAACGGUCCUAAGGUAGCGAAAUUCCUUGUCGGGUAAGUUCCGACCUGCACGAAUGGCGUAACGAUGGCCACACUGUCUCCUCCCGAGACUCAGCGAAGUUGAAAUGUUUGUGAUGAUGCAAUCUCCCCGCGGAAAGACGGAAAGACCCCAUGAACCUUUACUGUAGCUUUGUAUUGGACUUUGAACGGAUCUGUGUAGGAUAGGUGGGAGGCUUUGAAGCAGUGUCGCUAGAUCUUGUGGAGCCAACGUUGAAAUACCACCCUGGUGCGUUUGAGGUUCUAACCUAGGCCCGUUAUCCGGGUCGGGGACAGUGCAUGGUAGGCAGUUUGACUGGGGCGGUCUCCUCCCAAAGCGUAACGGAGGAGUUCGAAGGUACGCUAGUUACGGUCGGACAUCGUGACGAUAGUGCAAUGGCAUAAGCGUGCUUAACUGCGAGACUGACAAGUCGAGCAGAUGCGAAAGCAGGACAUAGUGAUCCGGUGGUUCUGUAUGGAAGGGCCAUCGCUCAACGGAUAAAAGGUACUCUGGGGAUAACAGGCUGAUACCGCCCAAGAGUUCAUAUCGACGGCGGUGUUUGGCACCUCGAUGUCGGCUCAUCUCAUCCUGGGGCUGUAGCCGGUCCCAAGGGUAUGGCUGUUCGCCAUUUAAAGAGGUACGUGAGCUGGGUUUAAAACGUCGUGAGACAGUUUGGUCCCUAUCUUCCGUGGGCGCUGCAGAUUUGAGGAAGCCUGCUCCUAGUACGAGAGGACCGGAGUGGACGCACCUCUGGUGUACCUGUUGUCACGCCAGUGGCAUUGCAGGGUAGCUAAGUGCGGAAGAGAUAACCGCUGAAAGCAUCUAAGCGGGAAACUCGUUUCAAGAUGAGAUCUGCCGGGGCCUUGAGCCCCCUGAAGAGUCGUUCUAGACCAGGACGUUGAUAGGCUGGGUGUGGAAGCGCAGUAAUGCGUUAAGCUAACCAGUACUAAUUGCUCGUGCGGCUUGACCCU